rnacentral:rRNA from 1 species
UACGAAGGGGGCUAGCGUUGCUCGGAAUCACUGGGCGUAAAGGGUGCGUAGGCGGGUGUUUAAGUCAGGGGUGAAAUCCUGGAGCUCAACUCCAGAACUGCCUUUGAUACUGAGGAUCUUGAGUUCGGGAGAGGUGAGUGGAACUGCGAGUGUAGAGGUGAAAUUCGUAGAUAUUCGCAAGAACACCAGUGGCGAAGGCGGCUCACUGGCCCGAUACUGACGCUGAGGCACGAAAGCGUGGGGAGCAAACAGG